rnacentral:lncRNA from 1 species
AGCAGGCCUAGCGGGGAAUGGAGGUCUAUCCUGGCAUACCGAAAUCCUAAUUGGGGGAAAAGACUCAGGGGUUUCGUAGAUUUUUUGUUUUUUCUUCUUUUUAUCUGCUUCUCUCCUAUUCGAAGCCGUAAUCGCAUGCUCGACAAGUCGAUUAAUAGUUUCCAUUGACUUGCUCUUCCCUCGCAUUUUCUGAAUUCCAUCAGUUUUUUC